rnacentral:misc_RNA from 1 species
ACCCUGGCUUACCUGGAGGACGUUGCCAUUGGAGAGGCAAAACGGCUAGCAACAUCCAGCAACCCACGACCUGUCAAAAAAAAGAAGUUAAUGGACAAGGUCAUAGAUUUGGUGCUUGCUGUGCCUUUCACAAGAGAUUACUUUUUCGACAAAGUCAAACAAACAGUUGUGAAGAAGACAAAGGGACUUUAUCCUGCUCCACUUAAAAUCAUAGAUGUUGUGAAAAAUGGCAUUGAAAACCCGUCCACAGGAUAUGAAAUGGAGGCUAAGUGUUUUGGAGAGUUGGCAAUGACUACAGAAUCCAAGGCUCUGAUUGGUCUAUACAAUGGAACCACGGCCUGUAAGAAGAACAAAUAUGGUUCCCCCAGCCGUCCAUCACAAACAAUUGGGGUCCUGGGUGCUGGGUUGAUGGGAGCUGGUAUAGCUCAGGUCUCCAUUGACAAGAACAUGCAUGUGUUACUGAAAGACAUGUCUCUGGCCGGGCUGGCGAGGGGUGAGGAACAAAUCUUCAAGGGUCUCCAGCUGGACACAAAAAAGAGGAAGAUCACCAGCUUUGAGAGAGAUUUGAUUUACUCCAAUCUGGAUGCUACGUUGUCUUACGAUGACUUCCACAAGUGUGACAUGGUGAUUGAGGCUGUGUUUGAGGAUCUGAACAUCAAGCACCACGUCAUCAAAGAGGUCGAACAGUAUAUUCCAGAGCACUGUGUAUUUGCCUCCAAUACAUCAGCUCUGCCUAUCAGCAAGAUAGCUACAGCCAGUAAAAGACCAGAGAAGAUAAUUGGAAUGCACUACUUCUCACCUGUUGAUAAAAUGCAACUGGUGGACAGGAUGAGGCGGUAUGAACAAAUCUACGGCGAACAAUUCACACCCUGCCAGCUGUUACUGGAUCACGCGAAAGACUCCUCCAAGAAAUUCCAUUCAUCAAAGUGAACUCUUCAUUCAGCAUAAUUAGACUGAUCAACUUACUAGUGAUCACAUGACUGAUCAUGUGAGCAUGGACCGGGUCAUGUGAUGACAUUGUGAUAUAUCUGUUCUCAUUAACUUCUCAUUGACUAUUUGAUUGUUGGGAAAAACCUUCAUAAUAGUAUGCAUUAUGAAUAUUCAUAUUUAUAAAUAAAUUUAUUU